UACGGAGGAUCCGAGCGUUAUCCGGAUUCAUUGGGUUUAAAGGGUGCGUAGGUUGUUUUAUAAGUUAGCGGUGAAAUACCGAUGCUCAACAUCGGGGCUGCCGCUGAUACUGUAGGACUAGAGAUCGGAUGCAGCAGGCGGAAUGUGUAGUGUAGCGGUGAAAUGCAUAGAUAUUACACAGAACACCGAUUGCGGAGGCAGCUUGCUAGGCCGGAUCUGACACUGAUGCACGAAAGCGUGGGGAUCGAACAGG
rnacentral:rRNA from 1 species